AUGGACACAUUAUUGCUGUCAGUUUUACAUUUGCCCUGGUGGUCGCUCGCGGUACUGCAACUAAACGCUCUUUUUCCCCAACGACUGAACGUGUUAGUGGAAAGUAAACGCCUUCGCCAUCAUCGUACAAGUUUUAAAAUCUGAUUUAUUUCUAUUUGUGAAUCUGAAACUUCUUCAUCCUGCAGGAAACCUCACAAACCUGAGGAGCAGGUUCAGGUGAGCUGAGGAGCAGGUUCAGGUGAGUUGGGGAGCAGGUUCAGGUCUUUGAGGAGCAGGUUCAGGUG